AUGUGUUGUUGGGUAGGGGAGCGUUCUGUAAGCCUGCGAAGGUGUCUCGUGAGGGAUGCUGGAGGUAUCAGAAGUGCGAAUGCUGACAUAAGUAACGAUAAUGCGGGUGAAAAACCCGCACGCCGGAAGACCAAGGGUUCCUGUCCAACGUUAAUCGGGGCAGGGUGAGUCGACCCCUAAGGCGAGGCCGAAAGGCGUAGUCGAUGGGAAACAGGUUAAUAUUCCUGUACUUGGUGUUACUGCGAAGGGGGGACGGAGAAGGCUAUGUUAGCCGGGCGACGGUUGUCCCGGUUUAAGCAUGUAGGCGGAGGUUCCAGGUAAAUCCGGUACCUUAUUAACGCUGAGGUGUGAUGACGAGGCACUACGGUGCUGAAGU
rnacentral:rRNA from 1 species